rnacentral:rRNA from 1 species
GACGAACGCUGGCGGCGUGCUUAACACAUGCAAGUCGAACGAUGAACUGGAGCUUGCUCCAGGGAUUAGUGGCGAACGGGUGAGUAACACGUGAGUAACCUGCCCUUGACUCUGGGAUAAGCGCUGGAAACGGCGUCUAAUACCGGAUACGAGCUUCAGCCGCAUGGCUAGGAGUUGGAAAGAAUUUCGGUCAAGGAUGGACUCGCGGCCUAUCAGCUAGUUGGUGAGGUAAUGGCUCACCAAGGCGACGACGGGUAGCCGGCCUGGGAGGGUGAGCGGCCACACUGGGACUGAGACACGGCCCAGACUCCUACGGGAGGCAGCAGUGGGGAAUAUUGUACAAGGGGCGCAAGCCUGAUGCAGCAACGCCGCGUGAGGGAUGACGGCCUUCGGGUUGUAAACCUCUUUUAGUAGCGAAGAAGCGAAAGUGACGGUACCUGCAGAAAAAGCACCGGCUAACUACGUGCCAGCAGCCGCCGUAA